GUGGCGAACGGGUGAGUAAUGCGUGACCGACCUGCCCCAUGCACCGGAAUAGCUCCUGGAAACGGGUGGUAAUGCCGGAUGCUCCAUCACACCGCAUGGUGUGUUGGGAAAGCCUUUGCGGCAUGGGAUGGGGUCGCGUCCUAUCAGCUUGAUGGCGGGGUAACGGCCCACCAUGGCUUCGACGGGUAGCCGGCCUGAGAGGGCGACCGGCCACAUUGGGACUGAGAUACGGCCCAGACUCC
rnacentral:rRNA from 1 species